rnacentral:rRNA from 1 species
GACAGAGGAUGCAAGCGUUAUCCGGAAUGAUUGGGCGUAAAGCGUCUGUAGGUGGCUUUUCAAGUCCGCCGUCAAAUCCCAGGGCUCAACCCUGGACAGGCGGUGGAAACUGCCAAGCUGGAGUACGGUAGGGGCAGAGGGAAUUCCCGGUGUAGCGGUGAAAUGCGCAGAUAUCGGGAGGAACACCGGUGGCGAAGGCGGUUCUCUGGGCCUUACCUGACGCUGAGGAGCGAAAGCGUGGGGAGCGAACAGG